UUAAGCGACUAAGCGUACACGGUGGAUGCCCUGGCAGUCAGAGGCGAUGAAGGACGUGCUAAUCUGCGAAAAGCGUCGGUAAGGUGAUAUGAACCGUUAUAACCGGCGAUGUCCGAAUGGGGAAACCCAGUGCAAUUCGUUGCACUAUCGUUAACUGAAUACAUAGGUUAACGAGGCGAACCGGGGGAACUGAAACAUCUAAGUACCCCGAGGAAAAGAAAUCAACCGAGAUUCCCCCAGUAGCGGCGAGCGAACGGGGAGCAGCCCAGAGUCUGAAUCAGCUUGUGUGUUAGUGGAACGGUCUGGAAAGUCCGACGGUACAGGGUGAUAGUCCCGUACACCAAAAUGCACAGGUUGUGAACUCGAAGAGUAGGGCGGGACACGUGGUAUCCUGUCUGAAUAUGGGGGGACCAUCCUCCAAGGCUAAAUACUCCUGACUGACCGAUAGUGAACCAGUACCGUGAGGGAAAGGCGAAAAGAACCCCGGCGAGGGGAGUGAAAAAGAACCUGAAACCGUGUACGUACAAGCAGUGGGAGCACCUUCGGGUGUGACUGCGUACCUUUUGUAUAAUGGGUCAGCGACUUAUAUUCUGUAGCAAGGUUAACCGUAUAGGGGAGCCGCAGGGAAACCGAGUCUUAACUGGGCGUUAAGUUGCAGGGUAUAGACCCGAAACCCGGUGAUCUAGCCAUGGGCAGGUUGAAGGUUGGGUAACACUAACUGGAGGACCGAACCGACUAAUGUUGAAAAAUUAGCGGAUGACUUGUGGCUGGGGGUGAAAGGCCAAUCAAACCGGGAGAUAGCUGGUUCUCCCCGAAAGCUAUUUAGGUAGCGCCUCGUGAAUUCAUCUUCGGGGGUAGAGCACUGUUUCGGCUAGGGGGUCAUCCCGACUUACCAACCCGAUGCAAACUACGAAUACCGAAGAAUGUUAUCACGGGAGACACACGGCGGGUGCUAACGUCCGUCGUGAAGAGGGAAACAACCCAGACCGCCAGCUAAGGUCCCAAAGUCAUGGUUAAGUGGGAAACGAUGUGGGAAGGCACAGACAGCCAGGAUGUUGGCUUAGAAGCAGCCAUCAUUUAAAGAAAGCGUAAUAGCUCACUGGUCGAGUCGGCCUGCGCGGAAGAUGUAACGGGGCUAAACCAUGCACCGAAGCUGCGGCAGCGACACUAUGUGUUGUUGGGUAGGGGAGCGUUCUGUAAGCCUGCGAAGGUGACCUGUGAGGGUUGCUGGAGGUAUCAGAAGUGCGAAUGCUGACAUAAGUAACGAUAAAGCGGGUGAAAAGCCCGCUCGCCGGAAGACCAAGGGUUCCUGUCCAACGUUAAUCGGGGCAGGGUGAGUCGACCCCUAAGGCGAGGCCGAAAGGCGUAGUCGAUGGGAAACAGGUUAAUAUUCCUGUACUUGGUGUUACUGCGAAGGGGGGACGGAGAAGGCUAUGUUAGCCGGGCGACGGUUGUCCCGGUUUAAGCAUGUAGGCUGGUUGUCCAGGCAAAUCCGGAUAAUCAAGGCUGAGGUGUGAUGACGAGGCACUACGGUGCUGAAGUAACAAAUGCCCUGCUUCCAGGAAAAGCCUCUAAGCAUCAGGUAACAUCAAAUCGUACCCCAAACCGACACAGGUGGUCAGGUAGAGAAUACCAAGGCGCUUGAGAGAACUCGGGUGAAGGAACUAGGCAAAAUGGUGCCGUAACUUCGGGAGAAGGCACGCUGGUGUGUAGGUGAAGUCCCUGCGGAUGGAGCUGAGACCAGUCGAAGAUACCAGCUGGCUGCAACUGUUUAUUAAAAACACAGCACUGUGCAAACACGAAAGUGGACGUAUACGGUGUGACGCCUGCCCGGUGCCGGAAGGUUAAUUGAUGGGGUUAUCCGUAAGGAGAAGCUCUUGAUCGAAGCCCCGGUAAACGGCGGCCGUAACUAUAACGGUCCUAAGGUAGCGAAAUUCCUUGUCGGGUAAGUUCCGACCUGCACGAAUGGCGUAAUGAUGGCCAGGCUGUCUCCACCCGAGACUCAGUGAAAUUGAACUCGCUGUGAAGAUGCAGUGUACCCGCGGCAAGACGGAAAGACCCCGUGAACCUUUACUAUAGCUUGACACUGAACAUUGAGCCUUGAUGUGUAGGAUAGGUGGGAGGCUUUGAAGCGUGGACGCCAGUCUGCGUGGAGCCAACCUUGAAAUACCACCCUUUAAUGUUUGAUGUUCUAACGUUGGCCCCUGACCGGGGUUGCGGACAGUGUCUGGUGGGUAGUUUGACUGGGGCGGUCUCCUCCCAAAGCGUAACGGAGGAGCACGAAGGUUAGCUAAUCCUGGUCGGACAUCAGGAGGUUAGUGCAAUGGCAUAAGCUAGCUUGACUGCGAGCGUGACGGCGCGAGCAGGUGCGAAAGCAGGUCAUAGUGAUCCGGUGGUUCUGAAUGGAAGGGCCAUCGCUCAACGGAUAAAAGGUACUCCGGGGAUAACAGGCUGAUACCGCCCAAGAGUUCAUAUCGACGGCGGUGUUUGGCACCUCGAUGUCGGCUCAUCACAUCCUGGGGCUGAAGUAGGUCCCAAGGGUAUGGCUGUUCGCCAUUUAAAGUGGUACGCGAGCUGGGUUUAGAACGUCGUGAGACAGUUCGGUCCCUAUCUGCCGUGGGCGCUGGAGAAUUGAGGGGGGCUGCUCCUAGUACGAGAGGACCGGAGUGGACGCAUCACUGGUGUUCGGGUUGUCAUGCCAAUGGCACUGCCCGGUAGCUAAAUGCGGAAGAGAUAAGUGCUGAAAGCAUCUAAGCACGAAACUUGCCCCGAGAUGAGUUCUCCCUGAGACUUUAAGUCUCCUGAAGGAACGUUAAAGACGAUGACGUUGAUAGGCCGGGUGUGUAAGCGCAGCGAUGCGUUGAGCUAACCGGUACUAAUGAACCGUGAGGCUUAACCU
rnacentral:rRNA from 1 species